ensembl:lncRNA
GUUUUAUUUGGUACUCAUCACUCACACACACUCAUACAACCUGUGCAUUUUAAGUAAUAGUCCACUUGCGCAGGAAAUAAAUGCCACGCAUGAAGAUCACUGUCGUCUUAUUCAAAUGUGCACCAGCAACAUCAAAUAACAGUUAUUCAAAUACGUUCGUACAGGCCCUAACUAUACAACGUGCUCCCACACACACACACCCACGAGCCACGCCUCCUGAAACGCUGGGCUACCGGUGAUUGUUGAAAACCAAUGAAGGACCAGGACCUCACAAAAGGCUAAUAACUAGACAGGACUGUCCGAACAUUACACACUACACCAACUACAUACUAUACUGUAACGAGGAGUGUUCCCUGCCGGACAACACCAUGGGUAAGCGCAAGGUCAAAAACAACGUCAAACAGGAGGAUCAAGUUGCCUCUUGUGCUGGAUCCACCGGUGGUCAAAAGUAAACCGCGCAACCAUUAUGUUCUUCUGUGCUUUUUGUUAUUCGUGGUCGUCGUUGGGGGUCCACUUCUCAGUUGGCUCUGUUAUCAGCAGCAACAAUCCAUUGACGAUUUGCAGAAACCGUUACGUCUUGCAGAGGAAGUUUGUUAAGUUCCAACAACAUGAUGGGGCAGGGAACACACAAUUGGAUGGCAUUAGUCAUGUGGAAGAGAGGCUGCUGGCUCUGGAGCAGGCACAGCCCGAGGCCCAGAAGCAGGCAGAGAUGGCCCUGACAGCUACCGAGCCAACUGGACGAUUCGGACCUCCGUUGCUCAGGUGCUGGCCCUGCAUACUGAGAUGACUACAGAGCUGAACAAGAUUGCAGACCUGCAGCAGAUGGAGUGUCAGUGGCUGCACUGAGUGCACUUUCUCACGGACCAAAGCAAGGAGCUGGAGGCGGUGAAGCAGAGCAUCAGUGACAUUCUGAGCUCCAACUCCCAGCUUGCCCUCAGCAUCUCCAGCAUCUCCAGCAGUAUCACCAGUGCGGCAUCCCAACUCGACCAGCAUGGCGUUUCUGUAGACGACAUGAGUAUGCAGCUACAGGGGCAGGCCGAUGACAUCCAUAGCCUAAAAGAAAUUCUCUCUAGUCAGCAGGCGUCUCUCGAGUCCAACGGUCAGGAGGUGCUGGAACUAAAGUAUGUAGAGAACAAAAGCACAAAACAGCAAAUGAACUGGACUUGGGAGAACCUCUUUCAUUUAACACACUAGCUACAACACAGACACUAACAACAUCUUCAUUGGCACAUGCUGAUUUCUUUUGAAGCCUGGCAUCAUGAUGAUGGAUUGGUAUCUAAGAAGAAUGCAUUAUCACAAAACCUGUAUUUAACUUUUUGGCCUAAACGUGAUGAUUCUAGAAAUCUUGCAGCUGUUGACCUUGUACCCCUUACCCCUGUGCACCAGGAGCCUGUUGGUGAUGGAGCGGAUGAAGAGGAAGAAAUCCCUGAAUAAGCAACUAAGAACCGUACAGCAGAGCAUAUCAGAGCAACUCAGCCCUGCCCACAGCCUCCAUGCUGACCUGGAGACCCCAUUGCUUGCUGUGCAUAGCCAGGAACCCGAGGAGCUACCUAGUGAGCAGGUAGACCAAGAAGCUGCAGAAGAAACACCUAAUGAAAUAGCCGAGGAAGCCUAUGAAGAGGAGAUGGCAGUAGUAGAAACUGAAUCCAUGGAGGAGGCAGCUGAAGCUGAUGAGGAAGCAAUAGAUGAAGCUUCUGAUGAAACACUGGAGGCAGAAGAAGCAAUUGACAUUGUAGAGGAAACAACCAGAGAAGAGCCAGAAGAUGUUUCUGAGGAACCACUGGAGGAAGAGCAAAAAGAAUCAGCUGAUAUUGUGGAGGAACCCACAGAAAAUCAGAUGGAAGAAACAGUAGAUGAAGUGACAGAAGAAGAUAUUGCAGAAGAACAAGCCGACGACGAAGAAUUUGCUGAGGAAGUAACAGAAGAAUUAGCGGAAGAGGAGGCAGAUGAAGACAAAUCAGAAGAAGAAGAAAUAGAAGAAGAAGAAGAAGAAGAAAAAGGAGAAGAAGAAGAAGAGGAUGAAACUACAGAAGAACUGGCAGAAGGGACAGAACGUUCUUUAGAUGAUAACUCUGUGGACGACACUACAGAGGAACCAUCAGAACUUGAUGAAGAAUCUACUGAGGACAAUUUUGAGGAGGACUCUGUUGAUGAGCAGGCUGAUGCUGAGGAGGAAUUAGUUGAAGAUGAUUUUGAAGAGGAACUUAAAUAUGAGCCAUCAGAAAAUGUAGAAGAAUUUGGAGAAGAUGUCAUGGAGGAAACCACAGAGGAGGCACGAGAAGAUGCGGAAUAUGAUGAAGAUGAUUUUGCAGAGUUUGAAUAGUUUACAAAAUAAGGCGCUUUUUCAAAAGAGCAAGAUAAUGAAACAUUAAAACAAACAUGGCUGAAUCAGUCAUUUCUUUUGAUACAUGCUAAUCAUAAUUUGUUUAGAAAUUAUGUCAGGCAAACAAAUAAACAAUAUUUUUACGUUUGUUUUCAAGAGAAACUCUUUUUCUUAGUCAAGAUAAUGGCCCUGCCUUAAUUGUCAUGUUUGUUUGGGUGAGUGUUACCCUGAGAUGAGAUUUUUUUUAAAUGAGAGUUUUGCCUCAAAGAACAUAAAAAAUAAUAUAAUGCACAAAACAACCUAUUUAUAUGAGUAAAACUGUAAUCACUGGAAAUGUCGGCAGAAAAAGCCUAAAUUAUCAUAACUGUAAUGAUUUUAUCUUUAAUCUCCCUGAGGUUCGAAAAUAAAGCUAAUUUGUAUGUUUUGUACCAUUUGUUUGGUGGUCAUUCGAAUGUUGUGGCCUAUAUUGCCCAUAUCACAGCCCUCUUGCUACCCUCCCCCACUCCCUGUUACUAAUACUGUCUCCACGUUGCUAUUUCUGGCGGCAGCUCUGAAUACUGCUGUGUGGCAGCCAAUCUUACCUCAUUCAGGCCUGUAAGAGAUGUAUAUAUAGUUUGCGUUUUGUUUCCACAACAACUGUUGUAACUGCAGUUACUUUCUCCUAUUUGGGCAAACUCCGCAAGCCACAUCUCGUGCCAAAUAGGCACGGGCAGCGAGGGAGCAACCGCUGUGAGAGCUUCCUCUCUUCAUGCGUCCCCCGUACCCCACGUGCAGUUGUCCCUUCUGAGUGAAACUCAAGCCCGUCUUCCCUAGGGUUAUUUGUGGCCGCACUGUUCGUCUCCGUCUGCUGCCAGACACAGCUGUUCACAUGUCACUGCCAUAUGACCCGCACAGUCCAUUCAGUGGAAAGAUUAGUGUCUAGAUAGAAAUGAAGAGCCACCAGUGGAAAUGUCUCCUAGAUUAUGAAUUGUUGCCGUUGAUCAGUAAUCCUCAAAUUCUUCUUCGUGUACAAACAGACACUUCAAGCUUCCUAUUCAACUGGCCAGAGAAUAGCUUUUCCUAUUUGAAAAGGGUAGAUUGUGUAAAAUUUGUCUUUCUUUCGCUUCCAUUUGUUCCAUGGCAAAGAAACACUAUGCUGUGCUACAGCGUGACACUAUUAAUCAAACAGCUGCUAGCUCAUUGCAUGACCUUUUGAGAAGACAUUUCCCUAAUGAAGUCUGAGGUUGUACAGUUCCUGGAAGCCCCGUACACUGUGUUAAAUGACUGGUGUUUAUAGUACACACACUGCUACCACUCUGCCUCUCCAGAGGAGGGCAGCACUGUCACAGAUACCGUUUACUGUGUGGGCCUAAAGUGAAAAGAUUGUUCACAAAAUGGUUGUGGUCAUGUCUCAAGAGAGCGAAGUCAUUUGCUAUAUUUUAGUAAACCCUCUUCACCAGAUAUGUUCACAUCAGGUAGACCCUGGUAGUAAGUAACAGGUCAACCUGUCACAUUCAUCAAGCUAUAGACCAAUCUGCAUCGUAAUGUGUAUGAAAAGAGGCUUUGUAAUCACUCAGAGGAUAGACUGAACAACCAUAAAUAAACAGUGAGGUCAUCCAGUGACUGAGAAUACCCUGCUACCCUUCACUAUGUGCCCUAGGGUUCAAUACAGAAUGUAUUCUCAUGGAUUGUCUUUUAUGGGGUAGAGCACCUUGCCUUCAAUCGAAUAGACUAUCUACAUCUGACUGUCUUAGGGGGUCACAGGGAACGAGUUCAGAUAAAUGAAAGUGAAAAUCACGCAAGAACAUCUAGUGCAACAGAGUAGUUUCAUAACCACUGUCCUGCUUCAUUGUGCGGAGAGAGAGAGAGUAAGUGGUGAGCGCUGGCCAGGAGGAUGUUUUAUGUAAUCCUGUGUGGAUGAGAGUGAGUGAGUGGGAGGAAGUAUGUGUGUGUG